AGAGUUUGAUCCUGGCUCAGAACGAACGCUGGCGGCAGGCUUAACACAUGCAAGUCGAACGGUUGUAGCAAUACAGCAGUGGCAGACGGGUGAGUAACGCGUGGGAACGUGCCUUUCGGUUCGGAAUAACCCAGGGAAACUUGGGCUAAUACCGGAUACGCCCUUCGGGGGAAAGAUUCAUUGCCGAAAGAUCGGCCCGCGUCGGAUUAGCUAGUUGGUGGGGUAAUGGCUCACCAAGGCGACGAUCCGUAGCUGGUCUGAGAGGAUGACCAGCCACACUGGGACUGAGACACGGCCCAGACUCCUACGGGAGGCAGCAGUGGGGAAUAUUGGACAAUGGGCGCAAGCCUGAUCCAGCCAUGCCGCGUGGGUGAAGAAGGCCUUAGGGUUGUAAACCCCUUUCAGCGGGGAAGAUAAUGACGG
rnacentral:rRNA from 1 species